AUUGAACGCUGGCGGCAGGCCUAACACAUGCAAGUCGAACGAGUGGCGGACGGGUGAGUAAUGUCUGGGAAACUGCCCGCUGGAGGGGGUUACCUACUGGAAACGGUAGCUACUACCGCAUACCAUCGGAUGUGCCCCGAUGGGCUUAGCUAGUAGGUGGGGUAACGGCUCACCUAGGCCACGAGCCCUAGCUGGUCUGAGAGGAUGACCAGCAACACUGGAACUGAGACACGGUCCAGACUCCUACGGGAGGCAGCAGUGGGGAAUAUUGGACAAUGGGCGAAAGCCUGAUGCAGCCAUGCCGAGUGUAUGAAGAAGGCCUUCGGGUUGUAAAGUACUUUCAGCGAGGAGGCGUUACUCGCAGAAGAAGCACCGGCUAACUCCGUGCCAGCAGCCGCGGUAAUAC
rnacentral:rRNA from 1 species